rnacentral:tRNA from 1 species
GGAGAGGUGGCAGAGUGGUCGAAUGUACCUGACUCGAAAUCAGGCGUACGUGUGAGCGUACCGUGGGUUCGAAUCCCACCCUCUCCG